CUGCAAAGUUACCAAAUUGCCAUGUAAGAGAAGUGUUUGGGAAAACACGCCAUAGCGGGUGAUAGCCCCGUAUCUGAAACAUGUGUGAUCUUUGAGCCAGUUCCUGAGUACCACGGAGUACGUGAAGUUCCGUGGGAAUCUGCGAAGACCAUUUCGUAAGGCUAAAUACUAGGUAGUGACCGAUAGUGAACAAGUACUGUGAAGGAAAGGUGAAAAGCACCGCGGGAGCGGAGUGAAAUAGAACCUGAAAUCGUACGCUUACAAGGUAUGGAAGCCCGUAAGGGUGACCGUGUGCCUUUUGUAGCAUGAGCCUGCGAGUUACUGUAUGCAGCAAGGUUAAGGGAUUGAAGUCCCGGAGCCGAAGCGAAAGCGAGUCUGAAUAGGGCGUUUUGAGUUGCAUGCUUUAGACCCGAAGUUGAGUGAUCUAGCCUUGGUCAGGAUGAAGUGGCGGUAACACGCCAUGGAGGUCCGAACUCGUGAAUGUUGAAAAAUUCUGAGAUGAACUGAGGCUGGGGGUGAAAGGCCAAUCAAACUCAGCGAUAGCUGGUUCUCCUCGAAAUGUAUUUAGGUACAGGGUCUGAUGUUUAGUUGUGGGGGUAGAGCGCUGUUUGGGCUAGGGGCCUUACCCGGUUACCAAACCCAGGCAAACUACGAAUACUAUAACGUUAGAGUCGAGCACUGAGUCAGUGGGUGAUAACGUUCAUUGGCAAGAGGGAGACAACCCGGAUCGACAGCUAAGGUUCCUAAAUCUACACUAAGUGAUAAAGGAUGUUCAAUCGCACAGACAAUUAGGAGGUUGGCUUAGAAGCAGCCACCCUUUAAAGAGUGCGUAAUAGCUCACUAAUCGAGCGAUUGGGCGCCGAAAAUGUACGGAUCUAAGUGUAGUACCGAAGCUUCGGGCGGGGCGAAUCGAGAGAUUCGCCUUGCGGUAGAGGAGCGUUCCUACAGCGGCGAAGGUAUAGCGAGAGCAGUGCUGGAGCGGUAGGAAGUGAGAAUGCAGGCAUGAGUAGCGAAAAUGACGGUUAAAUUCCGUCACAUCGUAAGCCCAAGGGUUCCGCAGCAAGGUAACUCCGCUGCGGGUUAGCCGGUUCCUAAGGUGAGGCCGACAGGCGUAACCGACGGUAACCUGGUUUAUAUUCCAGGGCUUAGUUCAAGGCGCGAUGGGGUGACGCAAGAAGAUAGGGAAGCAGCCUAAUGGAUGGCUGUAUAAGGUCGUAGGCGUUGAGGAGAUCAGGCAAAUCCGGUUUCUGAGCUGAAAGCUGAUAUGGAGUGGGCCUUCGGGUUUCACGAAGUUUCUGAUUCUAUGCUGCCAAGAAAAACCUCUAAGUUUACUUGAACUAAACCGUACCCGAAACCGACACAGGUGGGCGAGGAGAGAAUCCUCAGAUGCGCGAGAGAAACCUCGCUAAGGAACUCGGCAAAAUGACCCCGUAACUUCGGGAGAAGGGGUGCCCCAUUAUGGUGCAAGCCAGAAGGGGCCGCAGUGAAGAGUCCGCGGCGACUGUUUACCAAAAACACAGGUCUCUGCAAACACGUAAGUGGAUGUAUAGGGGCUGAUACCUGCCCGGUGCUGGAAGGUUAACAGGAGAUGUUAGCAGCAAUGCGACGCAUUGAAUCGAAGCCCCAGUAAACGGCGGCCGUAACUAUGACGGUCCUAAGGUAGCGAAAUUCCUUGUCGGGUAAAUUCCGACCUGCACGAAUGGUGUAACGACUGUGGAACUGUCUCAGCGAGGAUCUCGGCGAAAUUGUAGUGGCAGUGAAGAUGCUGCCUACCCGCAGUGGGACAGAAAGACCCCGUGAACCUUUACUGUAACUUGGCAUUGGUUUUCGGCUUUGUAUGUGUAGGAUAGGUGGGAGACUUUGAAGUUGCGGCGCUAGCCGUGAUGGAGUCGUCCUUGAAAUACCACCCUUACGAAAUUGAAAACCUAACCUGGCGUUACUUUUGUGUUCGAAUUUGUCCGGCCUUUGGCCGGCCAAAUUCGUAAAAAGACGACAAGAGCCUUGGAUAAGAUAAA
rnacentral:rRNA from 1 species